rnacentral:tRNA from 1 species
GCCUGGGUGGCUCAGUCGGUUGAACACCUGACUUUGGCUCAGGUCAUGAGCCUGCAGUUCGUGGGUUCAAGCCCCACUUCAGACU